GACGAACGCUGGCGGCGUGCCUAAUACAUGCAAGUCGAACGCAGUGGGGACGGGUGAGUAACACGUGGGUAACCUCCCAUCAGAGGGGAUAACACUUGGAAACAGGUGCUAAACCGAUACUGAUGGAUGGACCCGCGGUGCAUUAGCUAGUUGGUGAGGUAACGGCUCAGCAAGGCCACGAUGCAUAGUCGACCGGCGCGGGGGAGAGGCAAAACUGGGACUGAGACACGGCCCAGAAUCCGACGGGAGGAAGCAGUAGGGAAGCUUCGGCAAUGGACGAAAGUCUGACCGAGCAAAGCCGCGUGAGUGAAAAAGGUUUUCGGAACGUAAAACUCUGUUGUUAGAGAAGCGGUAUAUAACCAGAAAGCCACGGCUAACUACGUGCCAGCAGCCGCGGUAAUUC
rnacentral:rRNA from 1 species